UACGUAGGGUGCAAGCGUUGUCCGGAAUUAUUGGGCGUAAAGAGCUCGUAGGCGGUUUGUUGCGUCGGCUGUGAAAUCCCGAGGCUCAACCUCGGGUCUGCAGUCGAUACGAGCAAACUAGAGUGUUGCAGGGGAGACUGGAAUUCCUGGUGUAGCGGUGAAAUGCGCAGAUAUCAGGAGGAACACCGGUGGCGAAGGCGGGUCUCUGGGCAACAACUGACGCUGGAGGAGCGAAAGCCGUGGGGAGCAAACAGG
rnacentral:rRNA from 1 species